UUCGCGCAAAAACAGUUGGAAAAAUCUACACUAAUAAACUGUUAAACUUUUUUUAUAUCAUUUUAUACUUCACAAUUUCUUACUUUGAAGAAAAAUCACUAAUUUAUGACUUUUUCAUCUAUUUGAUCAUGUGACAUAUGAUCACGUGACUAUUAUGGUGUUCAUCGAUAAUUGUCAGUAGACCUGCUAGUGACGCCUAGUGGACAUCGAUGAUAAACGGAUAUAUGGUAAUAAUCGAUCCGAAAGAGAAUGAUGUUGGAUGAUGUAAUAUAAAUUUGUGAUGACCAUAAGUAUAAAGAUACUAUAUGUAAUGAUAUUUAUUAUUUAAUCGUCGAAGCAUGGAGAUUUAAAAUUGAGAACGAAAAGUUUUAAUUAAAACAGAAAAGGAACAUAUUUUUUCACACUAUUGCCCUGAGAGAAAAUGGACGCACAUGCAGGACGUAUUAAAUAAACUGAGCGAUCGCUUGUAUUAUAGAUAUACCAGCAUAGGAACGAGUUUCUAGAAUAAACUUAAUUAAAAAGUGCAACGAAAAGGAAAAAAGAAAGAUUGUUAUAAAAAGUUUUACAUUCACCUGUAUGUUUGAAAACGAAAAAAAAAUACAUAUAUGUAUAUAGGUCCAAUUUCAAAUGAAAUCAUCAUUCACACGUGUUUAAUCCAAAUAAAAAGAAAAUACAUCGAUCAAUUGAUAAUAUUUAAAAUGGAAAUAAAAAAUUAUUGAACGAAAAUUUUUAUUCCAUGUUACGUUUUUCAGGGAUACGAGUCAGAUGACGUAAUAUAUAAUAUAUUAACAUUAUUUUUCAUCUUUCUUGACGAUAUUGCAAAAUAAAAAUCUUUUACGCAAAAACGCAAAUAGAAUAUCGAUAGAAAAAAAAAAGAAAAAAGGCAAAAA
rnacentral:lncRNA from 1 species